AUGCUCAAAAUUCUCCAAGCCAGGCUUCAGCAACAUGUGAACCACAAACUCCCUGACAUUCAAGCUGGUUUUACAAAAGGCAGAGGAACCAGAGAUCAAAUUGCCAACAUCCGCUGGAUCAUGGAAAAAGCAAGAGAGUUCCAGAAAAACAUCUAUUUCUGCUUUAUUGACUAUGCCAAAGCCUUUGACUGUGUGCAUCACAAUAAACUGUGGAAAAUUCUGAAAGAGAUGGGAAUACCAGACCACCUAACCUGCCUCUUGAGGAAUCUGUAUGCAGGUCAGGAAGCAACAGUUAGAACUGGACAUGGAACAACAGACUGGUUCCAAAUAGGAAAAGGAGUACAUCAAGGCUGUAUAUUGUCACCCUGCUUAUGUAACUUCUAUACAGAGUACAUCAUGAGAAACGCUGGACUGGAAGAAACACAAGCUGGAAUCAAGAUUCCUGGGAGAAAUAUCAAUAACCUCAGAUAUGCAGAUGACACCACCCUUAUGGCAGAAAGUGAAGAGGAGCUAAAAAGCCUCUUGAUGAAAGUGAAAGAGGAGAGCGAAAAUGUUGGCUUAAAGCUCAACAUUCAGAAAACAAAGAUCAUGGCAUCUGGUCCCAUCACUUCAUGGGAAAUAGAUGGGGAAACAGUGGAAACAGUGUCAGACUUUCUUUUUUUGGGCUCCAAAAUCACUGCAGAUGGUGACUGCAGCCAUGAAAUUGAAAGAUGCUUACUCCUUGGAAGAAAAGUUAUGACCAACCUAGAUAGCAUAUGGAAAAGCAGAGACAUUACUUUGCCGACUAAGGUCCGUCUAGUCAAGGCUAUGGUUUUUCCUGUGGUCAUGUAUGGAUGUGAGAGUUGGACUGUGAAGAAGGCUGAGCGCCGAAGAAUUGAUGCUUUUGAACUGUGGUGUUGGAGAAGACUCUUGAGAGUCCCUUGGACUGCAAGGAGAUCCAAGCAGUCCAUUCUGAAGGAGAUCAACCCUGGGAUUUCUUUGGAAGGAAUGAUGCUAAAGCUGAAGCUCCAGUACUUUGGCCACCUCAUGCGAAGAGUUGACUCAUUGGAAAAGACUCUGAUGCUGGGAGAGAUUGGGGGCAGGAGCAGAAGGGGACGACAGAGGAUGAGAUGGCUGGAUGGCAUCACGGACUCGAUGGACAUGAGUCUGAGUGAACUCAGGGAGAUGGUGUUGGACAGGGAGGCCUGGCAUGCUGCGAUUCAUGCGGUCGCAAAGAGUCGGACAUGA
rnacentral:lncRNA from 1 species